UUUCUUUUUUUACUUUAGGCACCGUACUUAUAAAACAAACGUUGUCUUUUCUCAGGGAAGUUUACUUUUGCUACAAUCCCCACACAAAUUCGAGAACAGGUUGAACAGGUUCAAUCCACACGCAAGUUCGAGAAGUUUCAAAAGUGAGGAGAGACACAAGCCUCAUGGCAAAAAUAUUUUGCAAAAGAAGUUUACCUUAGGGUUGAUUGUUUCUUUUUAUUUAUAACUUGCAAAAUAAAUGUACUUUCAAACAUCCUGAAAGAUCACACAUGUUGCUUUAAUUUUAAUGCUAGAGUUUAGCCAGAGCCCCUCCUAAGGAGAAGGUGGGUGUUUCAUAACUCUGUUCACUGAGGAUGCUCUAUGCGAGUGGAAAGGAGGAGGCAGGACAACACAGACAAGGAGGGGAACAGACAGCCAGGGCACCAAGAAUAACAUCAUUACCACAAAAGAGAGGGCAGAGGCAGGUCAAAUGUCUAGGUCAAAGAGGGUAGGAAAAUGUUAGGGAGAGAUUUGAAUACACAGGCAAGAGGCUUGAAUUUAAUGGGGAGGUGCUGACUUCGAAAGACGUGCAGCACUUUGAGGACAUGCCCAGCACCUUACAGAACUGUAUUUGAAGACUAAAUUUUCAUCACUGUGCAUUAGUAAUGACUGCAGAAUUAGGUUCCAAAUGUUUGGGAAUGUAUCUGGAAAUAAGAUCCAGUAUGAUUGUCAGGAUAUUAUCAUUAAAUAGAAGUAUAUGAAUGCAAUGCAGAAAAGGAAAUGUAAGAUGGACAAAAGGAAAAUGUUCCUAAUGGUGAAUUCUAUUAUUUUUCCCAGGGGAAUAAGUGGACUCCUGUUAUUUGUAAGACAAAACACUGAAGAAUAUACUUUAAGGAAUAAUUCUACAGUGACAUAGAAAAGCAUUAGAUAACCGAUUAGGUCUUUGCUCUUUGAUUUUUGUGGAACUGAAUAGAGCCAGGGGAAUAGAGCAGCAAUAAGAAACCACAAAUACCAUUUUAUAUAAAAAUUUACUCCAUUACUGUCAGUGUGACCUGUGAAAAUGUAUAGGUAAGUCUUUGUUACCUCAGAAAUACCAUAAAUGCUAACAUUGGUACUUUUGCAAAUAUAUAUUCGUGCAGGAAUCCUAGUGCAGAACAUACUACACAUCUGUUUUGGAAACUCCUAGCCUUGUAAAAUAAGAAACAAUGGGUCAUACUAUAGGUACAUGACAAGAUAGCAAGAUAACACCAUGUAACACAAGUAUCAAAUCAGAAUAUAAGGCAUUUGCAUGAAAGUACAAUCAAAUGUCUGUAAUCCACUGCAUUAACUUUCUCUGUACAAAAUUAUUGGUUUACAUUGAUAGUGACCCUGAAGAAAAUGCUGUUACAAAGACCCUAUCUCAUCAUUAUUACACCUUUUUGUAUUGAGUACUUUCUGUGUAAUUUUGAAAACUAUUUGUCACGGAAUAGUAUAGAAAAUAUUUUAAGAAUAUUUCUAUGUUGAUUAAUAUUAAUUAAAAUAGUCAUUAAUGUGAUAUAACAUGAAGAAACAGAGAAGUCUUGGUGCAAAGUUCAGUAACUGGAAAAAUGUUUUUCCUGGAUUUACAGGUUCGCAACCAAAAACCUCAAACAGAAGGGUAAAAAGUGUAAAAAUCAGCACUGCUGAGCUGCAUUUCAUCACUGUCACUGUCCUGAUCUGUGAAAGGAUAGUUGUGCUCUGCCUUCCAUCCUCUUAAAUAUAUAAAUAAAAUCCUACAGUUUUGUAGCGAGCGCAGAAGUGGCUACACAGAACUACCAUCACCUUGUUCUUCAGUUCCACGUUUUUAUUUUGAUAAAAAGUGAAGUAAAACUCAUUUUGCCCUAUGCUUGUUCUCAAAGUGGUAUGAGCAGGGAAGGGUUAUGAUUAAUAGUCAGGACCAAAAAUGUCACACUAACAGUGCAAGGGCCUAAUUGCUGUUACAGCUGGAAACCUUCACAAUGGCACUGUAUGUAUCUUUCAUCCCAUGCUGGCCUUCUCUAAUAAUGCUUACACGUGUAAUCCCAAAAGUACCACGAAGAAAAUUUUGGGGGAUUCCCUGUAAGGGGGUGCAGCUGCCUUCACCAUGUGGUACCACUCUGCAUAGUGCAUCUGAAAACUGUA
rnacentral:lncRNA from 1 species